UAAACUGUUGACUGAACAUUCCCACAG
rnacentral:piRNA from 1 species